rnacentral:rRNA from 1 species
UGCCGGCGACCGGCGGACGGGUGCGUAACGCGUAUGUAACCUACCUUUGACAGGGGGAUAACAUCGAGAAAUUGGUACUAAUACCCCAUAACAUCACCGGAGGCAUCUUCGGUGGUUGAAAACUCAGGUGGUCAGAGAUGGACAUGCGUUGUAUUAGCUAGUUGGUGAGGUAACGGCUCACAAAGGCGACGAUACAUAGGGGGACUGAGAGGUCAACCCCCCACAUUGGUACUGAGACACGGACCAAACUCCUACGGGAGGCAGCAG